rnacentral:rRNA from 1 species
UACGUAAGGUGCAAGCGUUAUCCGGAAUUAUUGGGCGUAAAGAGCUCGUAGGCGGUUUGUCGCGUCUGCUGUGAAAACUGGGGGCUCAACCCCCAGCCUGCAGUGGAUACGGGCAGACUAGAGUGCGGUAGGGGAGAUUGGAAUUCCUGGUGUAGCGGUCGAAUGCGCAGAUAUCAGGAGGAACACCGAUGGCGAAGGCAGAUCUCUGGGCCGUAACUGACGCUGAGGAGCGAAAGCAUGGGGAGCGAACAGG